rnacentral:lncRNA from 10 species
AGAAAGUUGAAGUAACUUCUAAGUUACUAAGUAAUUGGAAGAUGUGGAACAGAAACUUAGAUAGUUGAUCCUAGAACCUUAGUCACUAAACCAUAAUUUCUGGAUUAGAGCAGAAUAGAUUUAAGAUAGUCUGUGAGAAAAUUAAAUUUAGGGGAAUAUAACAAUGGUGGAGUUUUCCAUUUUUCUUGAUUUUUCUUUAAAUAUAAUUCUGGUCUAGAAAGAGGCUUUUCUUGUACACUAAGCUUCUAUUGUCUCCCAUCUGUGUUUUUAACAAAGAUAAUUAGGGUCAUCUUGGUUCAAGCAGACCUUCUUAUUUUUAAUUACACUGCACCUGGAAACCUGAAAGAAUGUACAGAUUCAUCUUAGCUUCCAGCUGAUGCUUGAAAUGAUUGGCGUUGCCCUCAAAGGACAAGAGGUCUUUAGUGAAGAAUUCAGGAAAUCAGGCCUUGGACCAGUCCACAUAGUCCAGCAGUUAAAACUGCUCUCUAACUCUGUCUCUCAGACAAAAAAAAAAAAAAAAAAGUUCAUUUCUCUUCUCUUCAAUCUAUUGCUGCUGUGGUGAUGGCAAAAGCACGGAGUAGCUCUGCUGUUCCUGAAAUCUGAAAUCCCCGUAGAUAUGUUGCAAUGUGCGAGAUUAGCUUGACUUGUCCUUUACCUCGACCUCAGCCUGCUCUCCUGGACUAUCUCACAACCAGGGGUGUGGGAGAUCUGCUCUGGGAUUUAUUUCUGAGAAGCUUCAGAUGAGGUCUACGUGUGAGGGUGACCUUCCUUAGACCGCUGAUCCUCUUCUCCAGAUUUUACUUCAAAGGAAGAGGGAUGUAAACAGGAACGCUGUGAAUAGAGAAAGGAACAAGUAGCAGAUCAUUUUGCCUA